AUUGAACGCUGGCGGCAUGCUCUACACAUGCAAGUCGAACGGUAACACGCCGCUAGGUGCUGACGAGUGGCGGACGGGUGGGUAAUGCAUCGGAACGUGCCCAGUCGUGGGGGUUAACUAAUCGAAAGAGUAGCUAAUACCGCAUACGAUCUAUGGAUGAAAGCGGGGGACCGUAAGGCCUCGCGCGAUUGGUGCGGCCGAUGUCGGAUUAGGUAGUUGGUGGGGUAAGGGCUCACCAUGCCAACGAUCUGUAGCGGAUCGGAGAGGACGACCAGCCACACUGGAGCUGAGACACGGCCCAGACUCCUACGGGAGGGAGCAGAGGGGAAUGUUAGGCAGUAGGCGCAAGCCUGAUCCAGCAAUGCCGCGUGCAGGAAGAAGGCCUUCGGGUUGUAAACUGCUUUUGUACGGAACGAAACGGCUCUGGUUAAUACCCGGGGUUAAUGACGGUACCGGAAGAAUAAGCACCGGCUAACUACGUG
rnacentral:rRNA from 1 species